AACCCUCUUCCCCCUGAGAGGUUUUGUUAACAUUCUUUUGGAUCCAGACAGACAUGGGGCGGUUCCUAGGCAGCACUGUCUCCAGAAACCGUGCUGAUUCUCCCUGCUGAGGAGAGCGUUUCUUGGGCUCUCCUGGCAGCAUCCCUGAGUGUGUGCAGAAACCCAGCAGCACCCCGGAAAGCAAAUUCUGCUCUCCACGGGCAUCUGGGGUCACCAAGAAGCAACCACUUCCCAGGACUGAUUGGAAAAAUGAAAAAAGAAGUGAGUGAAUCAAGGCGUUUUAAUUGACGGUCAGCCUCUCCAGGUACUUGGAUCUGCUCUAGCCUUGCCUUCCCCGUUGCUAUGGUUUUAUGUGUCCCCCAAGGCCCAGCGUUAAAGGCUUGGUCACCAGCCUGUGGCACUACUGGGAAGUGGUGGAACCCUGAAGAGGUGGGGCCAAGUGGGAGGAGGUUAGGCCCUUGAAGGGGAUUUCGGGACCCCCAGCUCCCUCCUCUCUCUUCACACCAUGGCCAUGAGGUGAACAGUUUCACCAUGCGCUCCUGCCAUGAUGAGCUGCCUUGCCCUGGCACCAGUGGGACAAGGCCAAUCAAUCAUGGACUGAAAUCUCUGUGAGCCCAAAUGAACCUUUUCUCUUUUGUAAGUUAAUUAUUUCAGGUAUUUUGUUACAGUCAUGGGGACUGACUAAUAUACCCUUCUGCCUGAAUUUUGUGCCUGUCUUUUGGAAGCCCUGCUCCCUGGAUUUUGUUACUGAAUGCACCACUUUCACCUUCAUUUGGUACUCUACUUCUUUCUGCUUUUUCACAGGCAGAUAUUGAUUUACUGUCCUUUGGCAAUAUUUAUUUAUUGAAAUUAUUAUUCAUUAAUGUAAAUCAUGUUUAUUGCACAAAGAAUUCAAUAGAAUUGAAAGUCUCAAAGUAAAAAGAAUAGAUCCCCUUGGUCCUUCUGUCCCUCUCUAAGAUACCAGAGUCCUAUUCCUCAUAGUGACUCACUUUUUUUUAAUAUAUAUAUUUUAAAAUUGUUAAUAGACCUUUAUUUUUAUUUAUUUAUAUGUGGUGCUGAGAAUCAAACCCAGUGCCUCACAAAUGUCAGGCAAGUGUGCUACUGCCGAGCCCCAGCCCCAGCCCAGUCACUCACUUUUGAACUACUUUUUUGGUUAUUUCUUUUGGCAGUGACUUUUGUGCCUUUAGUUAAUAUGCUUACAUCAUCAUGUCUUGAUCUGUUGGAGAUGUAGUUGUUUGACUUUUUGUAAUGACAGAGUUACUUACCCCAUGCUAUUGUGUCUUCUAUCACAUUUUCUAGUACAGUUAAAUCCAUAAUUAAUAUAUUAUUACAAUAGUAAGGUAAAUGUUGUUUACUGAGGUUCCAAUAUUCACAUUUCCUGUCUUGUGGGAACCUUUUGUUUCUCCUGGAGUUUUUAAUCGCCUCAUUUUUUCCACUUGUAUACUUUUCUAGCCACUUUAAAAAAUAUUGUCCUCAAAUGUUUAAUUUUAAUAAUUUAUUUUAUUAGUCUUCUUUCUUUCCCCAAGAGCCUUCAAUUCUGGAUACUUCCAUAAACUCACCAAAUCUGGACUGUUCCAUCUUUAAGCCUGUGGCAUAUUUUCUUGCUGGGCCUUCUCCUUCACUCUCCUAGCUUGGGCCCAAUGUUCCUUUGUUCUUUCGUCUUGUUCAUUUUGCCAGAGGUUAUCCCAGUAGUUACUUGAUAAAGGUGCAAGGAAGGUUAAUUUUAUGAAUGCUUAUGUAUAUAAAAAUGUCUUUGGUCUAUCUCUACCCAUGACUAAUACUUUGCUAAAUCUAGGAUUCCAGGUAGAAAAUAAUCUUCCCUCAGGAAUUUUUAGGCAUUAGUGUCUUCAGGAAUUACAAGGCACUCGGCGUCUUCCAUGGAUCCCAUGGUGCUAAGUGGAAGCCUCUGCCCUGAAGUUCAAGAUUCGCAGAUGUUGCUGGAUACGCGCCCCCUCUACCAUCUCCCCCCGAUGGCCUGACACAGAGCCAGUGCUUGGUGCUCCAGAAUGGCCUCCCCUCUUCGCACCUUUAGAGGUCUGCCUGGGUGGUUCCUGUGCGUCAUUACAUCCCAGACAUCCUUGUCUUCAUAAAAAGUCGUCUUGUCAUGUUCUCUGGAGGGUUCUCUGCCCUGUUAUUGGGUUUGUUAAAAGAUAGUCCCCCCGUACCUUGAGGUUGUCCUUCCUUCCGUAUUGGAACACUCGUCUACUCCUAGCACAGCGGAGGGGCUGCUGCAGCCUGUGUUUGCGUCCCCCCUUUUGGGGCAGUUUGGAGAGGACUGGGGGCAGCAUUGGCGCCAACGGCUCAGGGUGAUGCUGUGGACUCACGAUCCAGAUGGGGGACGGCCACUUCUGUCACCAAGGGAGAGCGAAAGAUGACUCUCCCACAAACUCUUCAGUCUCCCGAAUCCCCCAGCACAGGGGCCUCUCUCUAAAGCUCCUGGGAGGAGGACAGGGUCAGCUCCCUUGAUGCCCUGUGUCCCCAGGUGUGUGCGGUGGGGCUGGUGCGGUUGAGGUGCCGGAGCUGAGCCCUGUGAGCCCCCUCCAGCCUUGCUCCCUGGGGUUCCAGGGUGACACACAGAGCCAUCCCCUCUUCCUGUAUACCCUCCCUUGAUCUUGUGACGCCCACACGUGUCCCAGCAGCCCAGGAGCUCCCUGUGGGUCCCUGUGCCAGGAACUGCUCACUGACGAGGCCUGUGCUUGCUCCUGGGUCUGAUCUGCAAAGAUCCCUUCGAAUCACUGGCAGGGCCCUCCGUAGUGGGCAGGAGACAGGGGACGUUGGAGACAACUGUCUGCCUACCAUGGACCCCCAGCCCGUGGUUUCAGGGUCUGGAGGCCGCCCUGUCUUCCAAAGCCGGGUGGGACGGUUCUGACUGAGCUCGGGGCCAGCAUGCUCUAGAGACCCUUUUCAGAAGGCACCAUGAAAGCUAGACCCAGCUGGGACAUCGGAAUUGUCCCCUAGUGACCCUUGGGUCCACUUCCCUCCAGAAAAGGGUAUUGAAACAAAAAGGCCCCAGAGGAGCAGGUCCCUGGAGCCCAGAUCCCUUUCUGGUCGGUCAUGGGACAAGUCUUUCUGGCUUUGCAUCAGAUACUGCAAGAAAGGAGGCCACAAACCUGUCCCAGGCCUCACCCUCCCCUUAGAUCUGCAGUUAGUGCCAUGGUGCUGGGUGCCGCAGCAGGACUGCUGUUCCAACUAACCAGCCCACCAGGGGACGGCCACUUGCGUUUUCAAGCAUUAAUUCACACAAUCUGCACGACAGCUGCCUGACACACUCUGCAUUUCCCAGAACACCGCAGCUCAGAGAGAUGAAGUGACUCGCCCCCGUCACACAGCUGUUCUCGGCGGCAGGGCCUGAUUUUGGAGCCCAGCUCUGUUCAGAGUCUCAUGCUGGGGAUCCUGGGUGUGCUCUCCUGGUACAGGGUGGCGGCUGACCUGAUUAAUGCCUGACGGGGUCCCCUCCCAGCCACCAGCGUCCAUCAGACAUGACGAGGCACUGGAGAGCAGGGAGGUCCUCACUCUCCGUGCCUGUGUCCCGGGCAGUAGUGACAACGUGGGCUCCCUCUGUCCCCUUCACUGCCACAUAGCUGCAGGGUCCACAGGAAGAUUAAAAACUGAGUGUGUGUGUCAGGACAUCGUGGUCCCUGUGGGAGCUGUGUGGACUCCCUGCCUGACCCCAGGGCCCUGCCUCUAUUCAGCGGGGCCCAUGUGGUUUUCUUUUUUUUUUGGACAGGGGAUUGGACCCAGGGGAACUUAACCACUGAGCCACCCAUCCACCUCUCCAGCCCUUUGGAUUUUAUUUUAUUUUUUUAUUUAGAGACAAGGUCUCACUAAGUUGCUGAGGUUGGCCUUCAAUUUGUGAUCCUCCUCCCCCCAGCCUCCUGAGUCACUAGAUGUACAGCUGUGCAUCGGCAGACCCGGCUAGGACCACGCUGUUUCCACAGUGGAGUCUCCUCCCCUCUUGGAGCAUCCUGCUUGUCUUAUUUCCCACCAUUUUUUGUUGUAAAAAUGUUUGAACAAGUGGAAACACUGAUUGUGAGCACCCAGACACUCUCCCCUGGAUUCUACGGCUCACAUGGACUUCUGUUUACUUUCUUGCACAUCUAGCCAUGUAUCUCCACGAUGGCCCACCUCUCUCUUUUUGGCCGUGCUGGAGGUCAACCCGGGAGCCUCAUACUUGCUAGACAACUGCUCUAUGGCUGCCUUCCACCAUACCCGCCCGCCACGUUCUUUAUACUAAACCACUGGUUUGGAUUUUAAAAAUUUAAUUGUGUUAAAAUACACUUAACGAAAUCUA